CUGAUCCAGCCAUGCCGCGUGAGUGAUGAAGGCCUUCGGGUUGUAAAGCUCUUUUACCCGGGAAGAUAAUGACUGUACCGGGAGAAUAAGCUCCGGCUAACUUCGUGCCAGCAGCCGCGGUAAU
rnacentral:rRNA from 1 species